UACGGAGGAUCCGAGCGUUAUCCGGAUUUAUUGGGUUUAAAGGGAGCGUAGGUGGACAGUUAAGUCAGUUGUGAAAGUUUGCGGCUCAACCGUAAAAUUGCAGUUGAUACUGGCUGUCUUGAGUACAGUAGAGGUGGGCGGAAUUCGUGGUGUAGCGGUGAAAUGCUUAGAUAUCACGAAGAACUCCGAUUGCGAAGGCAGCUCACUGGACUGCAACUGACACUGAUGCUCGAAAGUGUGGGUAUCAAACAGGAUUAGAUACCCUGGUAGUCCACACAGUAAACGAUGAAUACUCGCUGUUUGCGAUAUACAGUAAGCGGCCAAGCGAAAGCAUUAAGUAUUCCACCGGGGGAGUACGCGGCAACGGUGAAACUCAAAGGAAUUGACGGGG
rnacentral:rRNA from 1 species